rnacentral:rRNA from 1 species
UACGUAGGGUGCAAGCGUUAAUCGGAAUUACUGGGCGUAAAGCGUGCGCAGGCGGUUUUGUAAGUCUGUCGUGAAAUCCCCGGGCUCAACCUGGGAAUUGCGAUGGAGACUGCAAGGCUAGAAUCUGGCAGAGGGGGGUAGAAUCCACGUGUAGCAGUGAAAUGCGUAGAGAUGUGGAGGAACACCGAUGGCGAAGGCAGCCCCCUGGGUCAAGAUUGACG